UACGUAGGGGGCUAGCGUUGUCCGGAAUCAUUGGGCGUAAAGAGCGUGUAGGCGGUUCGAUAAGUUUGCUGUAAAAGUCAAGGGCUCAACCCUUGAAAGCCGGUGAAUACUGUCGGACUAGAGUACGGAAGAGGCGAGUGGAAUUCCUGGUGUAGCGGUGAAAUGCGCAGAUAUCAGGAGGAACACCAAUUGCGAAGGCAGCUCGCUGGGACGUAACUGACGCUGAGACGCGAAAGCGUGGGGAGCAAACAGG
rnacentral:rRNA from 1 species